GAGAGAUGGUCUCGGUUGGUGACCAGCGGAGGGAUCAUUACCGAGUUUACACUCCCAAACCCCUGUGAACAUACCACUUGUUGCCUCGGCGGAUCAGCCCGCUCCCGGUAAAACGGGACGGCCCGCCAGAGGACCCCUAAACUCUGUUUCUAUAUGUAACUUCUGAGUAAAACCAUAAAUAAAUCAAAACUUUCAACAACGGAUCUCUUGGUUCUGGCAUCGAUGAAGAACGCAGCAAAAUGCGAUAAGUAAUGUGAAUUGCAGAAUUCAGUGAAUCAUCGAAUCUUUGAACGCACAUUGCGCCCGCCAGUAUUCUGGCGGGCAUGCCUGUUCGAGCGUCAUUUCAACCCUCAAGCCCUCGGGUUUGGUGUUGGGGAUCGGCGAGCCCUUUGCGGCAAGCCGGCCCCGAAAUCUAGUGGCGGUCUCGCUGCAGCUUCCAUUGCGUAGUAGUAAAACCCUCGCAACUGGUACGCGGCGCGGCCAAGCCGUUAAACCCCCAACUUCUGAAUGUUGACCUCGGAUCAGGUAGGAAUACCCGCUGAACUUAAGCAUAUCAAUAAGCGGAGGAA
rnacentral:rRNA from 1 species